rnacentral:rRNA from 1 species
GUAGGUGGCAAGCGUUGUCCGGAAUUAUUGGGCGUAAAGCGCGCGCAGGCGGUUCUUUAAGUCUGAUGUGAGAGCCCACGGCUCAACCGUGGAGGGUCAUUGGAAACUGGAGAACUUGAGUACAGAAGAGGAAAGCGGAAUUCCACGUGUAGCGGUGAAAUGCGUAGAGAUGUGGAGGAACACCAGUGGCGAAGGCGGCUUUCUGGUCUGUAACUGACGCUGAGGCGCGAAAGCGUGGGGAGCAAACAGGAUUAGAUACCCUGGUAGUCCACGCCGUAAACGAUGAGUGCUAAGUGUUAGGGGGUUUCCGCCCCCCUUAGUGCUGCAGCUAACGCAUUAAGCACUCCGCCUGGGAGUACGGCCGCAAGGCUG